CCUACGGGAGGCAGCAGUAAGGAAUAUUGGACAAUGGUGGCAACACUGAUCCAGCCAUGCCGCGUGCAGGAUGACGGUUCUAUGAAUUGUAAGCUGCUUUUAUACGGGAAAAACCCUCAAGACGUGAUUUUGAGCUGAUUGUACCGUAAGAAUAAGGAUCGGCUAACUUCGUGCCAGCAGCCGCGGUAAGACGAAGGAUCCAAGCGUUAUCCGGAUUUAUUGGGUUUAAAGGGUGCGUAGGCGGACUCAUAAGUCAGUGGUGAAAUCCCAAAGCUUAACUUGGAACUGCCAUUGAUACUGUAAGUCUUGAGUAUGUUUGAAGUGGGCGGAAUGUAUUGUGUAGCGGUGAAAUGCUUAGAUAUAAUACAGAACACCAAUUGCGAAGGCAGCUCACUAAACCAUAACUGACGCUGAGGCACGAAAGCAUGGGGAGCAAACAGGAUUAGAUACCCUGGUAGUCCAUGCCCUAAACGAUGAAUACUCGAUAUGUGCGAUAUACAGUACGUGCUAAGCGAAAGCAUUAAGAUUCCACCUGGGGAGUACGCUCGCAAAGAGAGAACGACAAUAGAGUAGACGGACGNGAGAGNGCGACGGACGACGACGAGGGGAGUAGG
rnacentral:rRNA from 1 species